GACGGAAGGUGCAAGCGUUGCUCGGAAUCACUGGGCGUAAAGGGUGCGUAGGCGGCUUGGUAGGUCUGGUGUGAAAGCCCCGGGCUCAGCCCGGGAAGGGCACUAGAAACUGCCAAGCUAGAGUGCCGGAGGGGAGAGUGGAAUUCCUGGUGUAGCGGUGAAAUGCGUAGAUAUCUGGAGGAACACCGGUGGCGAAGGCGGCAUCCUGGACCGAGAUUGACGCUGAGGCGCGAAAGCUAGGGGAGCAAACGGG
rnacentral:rRNA from 1 species